GCUGCUGUCAGAUACAUGGGGUGUGUAAAGACAAAUAUGCACUACAGCUGUACUGUACAUUGGAAUGUGAAGCUGGUAUCUUUUAUCACGUCAUGCUGAAUCUGUAGUAAUGGCUAAAGCAGGUAAGGGAAGAUGGCUAUGAACAACAAGAUGAAGAACUUGAGAGAAUCAUCUGAUUUUCAAAUCUUUCAGCUUUUUUACUUUUGCUGGUGACUGACAUUAACCCACAUUUGUUAGUUUUCUUUUUUAAAAGGUGUUGAACAGAAGAAUCACCCACCUGAGACAUAAAGGCAGUAGAAUACAAGAACAGUGAACAACAGUAUUAGAGCAGUUGGGGAAUAAUACUGCCACGGUAGCUUUGGUAGAAGGCUGCAGAACUGCCAGUGGAAAACAGGGUGUGAAGGUACAGAUGGAGGGCCUGUAGCCAUUCAAAAUGCUAAAGCAUCCAAGGUGUUGUGCAGUGCUGCUUUCUAUUUUAUGGAUGACUAUCUGCGAGAAGUGCAGUGGUGAGUGAAAAGGUGUGAAGAACUGGUUGGGGAUAGCCUUUUAGGAAACAGCUCUGACAGUGCUGUGCCUAGAGGAGCUGUCUGGACAACUUUUUAUUUGAUGUAAAUUCCCAAAGUGAAAUAUACUAUGUUGAGGAGUAUUGCUCGAAGAAAAGAAAAGACCAUCUACCUUCUGAAGCAAUAAAUAU
rnacentral:lncRNA from 1 species